rnacentral:rRNA from 1 species
UUUAAUUGGAAGCAACGCGAAGAACCUUACCAGGUCUUGACAUCUUUUGACAAUCCUAGAGAUAGGACUUUCCCUUCGGGGACCAAAUGACAGGUGGUGCAUGGUUGUCGUCAGCUCGUGUCGUGAGAUGUUGGGUUAAGUCCCGCAACGAGCGCAACCCUUAUUGUUAGUUGCCAGCAUUAAGUUGGGCACUCUAGCAAGACUGCCGGUGACGAACCGGAGGAAGGUGGGGAUGACGUCAAAUCAUCAUGCCCCUUAUGAUCUGGGCUACACACGUGCUACAAUGGACGGUGCCAACGAGUCGCAAGACCGCGAGGUUUAGCAAAUCUCUUAAAGCCGUUCUCAUUCGGAUUGUAGGCUGCAACUCGCCUACAUGAAGUCGGAAUCGCUAGUAAUCGCGGAUCAGCAUGCCG